AGUGAACGCUGGCGGUAGGCCUAACACAUGCAAGUCGAACGGCAGCACAGUAAGAGCUUGCUCUUACGGGUGGCGAGUGGCGGACGGGUGAGGAAUACAUCGGACUCUACUUUUUGUGGGGGAUAACGUAGGGAAACUUACGCUAAUACCGCAUACGACCUACGGGUGAAAGCAGGGGAUCUUCGGACCUUGCGCGAUUGAAUGAGCCGAUUUCGGAUUAGCUAGUUGGCGGGGUAAAGGCCCACCAAGGCGACGAUCCGUAGCUGGUCUGAGAGGAUGAUCAGCCACACUGGAACUGAGACACGGUCCAGACUCCUACGGGAGGCAGCAGUGGGGAAUAUUGGACAAUGGGCGCAAGCCUGAUCCAGCCAUACCGCGUGGGUGAAGAAGGCCUUCGGGUUGUAAAGCCCUUUUGUUGGGAAAGAAAAGAAGCAGGUUAAUACCCCGCUGUUCUGACGGUACCCAAAGAAUAAGCACCGGCUAACUUCGUG
rnacentral:rRNA from 1 species